rnacentral:piRNA from 1 species
CUCCUGCCAUCUGAUUAUCUCAAGUGC